AACGAACGCUGGCGGCAUGCCUAACACAUGCAAGUCGAACGAGACCUUCGGGUCUAGUGGCGCACGGGUGCGUAACGCGUGGGAACCUGCCCUUAGGUUCGGAAUAACUCCCCGAAAGGGGUGCUAAUACCGGAUAAUGUCUUCGGACCAAAGAUUUAUCGCCUUUGGAUGGGCCCGCGUUGGAUUGCUAGUUGGUAGGGUAAAAGCCUACCAAGGCGACGAUCCAUAGCUGGUCUGAGAGGAUGAUCAGCCACACUGGGACUGAGACACGGCCCAGACUCCUACGGGAGGCAGCAGUGGGGAAUAUUGGACAAUGGGCGAAAGCCUGAUCCAGCAAUGCCGCGUGAGUGAUGAAGGCCUUAGGGUUGUAAAGCUCUUUUACCCGGGAUGAUAAUGACAGUACCGGGAGAAUAAGCUCCGGCUAACUCCGUG
rnacentral:rRNA from 1 species